rnacentral:lncRNA from 1 species
AUGGGGCCAAGUCCAGCCUCGCGGACACUUAGGGUUCCCACAGGAUUUGGAGGCUUUUCACUCCAUGAACAGGGUUCCAAUUACCUCCCCAUUCAGAACCAGCUCAUUAUUGAUGUGCAGAUUUCAGGUUCCCUUGGCAGUCUGAGCAGUCCUUUCUCUCCCCAACCCACACUGAGCCAACAGCUGAAGGCACUGUGCACCAGCAGAGACACCCCAGGGCGCUGUGUCCGGAUUAUUCCUGCCCACCAUAUCCUCGGAGUCAGUCCGAGCCAUACUCUCACUGGGCUCAUUGUGCAGUUCUGGCUCUUCAUUUAUUUUCAGUUUCAGUCUUCACUGCCUAAUAACAAGAGUGUUUUCUUCCUCUCCCCCUUCCCCACCAGGCCCUGCAGAGCCACUUGGGGUAAAUCAGAUGAAGGACGGAGGAUGGAGGCAUUCUGCACUCGAGUUAAAAUCAAGCCAAGAAAUGAAUCUCUUGUUAGGAAUUUUGCCUGGUGAAUCAUGUUGAACUGAGAGCUGUCUGUGGUGAGCACAGGCAAUAUCCAAUCACUAGCUGUACUUCACCUCCUCACAGUUACACCCUGCUGUGUGAGGAAAGUGUCUCUCUUCCUCAGAAAACAAGAUCCAAGGUGCAAAACCCAUCAACUGGGGCGUCAUGGAAUAUCUUGGAAAAUUUUAGAGCUAGUAAUUUCCUUCUGCCAGGAAUAAUUUGGUUUAGUCUUUCUUUUUCUAAAUGUCCACAUCAGCAGUGGAAUAGCAAAACAUGAAUUGGACUGCCUAUGGACCGUUUACUGUCAUCUCUUUCCGACCAGGCUUAGACUACAGGCAGGUACUAACCCAGAAGGCAGAAGUCUGGAGGCCUGAAAGAAUUACAGGACAAAAUACUGGCCCCUCACAGGAACUGAGCAAGACUUGAGUGUCGGAAGUCCAGACAUGUAUUACAUUUAUUCAUUAAACAAUGAUGUACUGAGUGGCUAUGUUGAACCAUUUGCUUCAUCACACAACUGGGACACAUUGGUGGUGGAAUGCACAAGAAUCCUUGUGAAAUGAAGUCUGCACAUUCUAAAAGCAGGAGACCAGCAAUUAACAAUACAUGUGAUAACAGAGUAAAUUCUGCAGUGUGUUGGAAGCUGAGAAAUUCUACAGGAAAAAAUAAGGUAGGGCAGUAGGGACCAAGAUGUCAAGUUUCAAAGAUGGGGUCUGCAUCUCAUGGCCCAUGGUAGGAAACUUGAUUUUACUUUGGGUCAGAUGGGAGCCCCUGGGGAGUCUGAGUUCUUUGUGUACUGAGUCAGUCAUUCAUUCAGUCCAUACAGGAACAGUAUAGGUGAUUUCUGCAGUGUGCAGGUUGACAGCUGCAGUGUUGCUGUCUAUACAGAACUCUUAUAUAAUUAUUUGUUUUAUUGCACUGUGAUUUCAUUAUUUUCAUUAAAAAAAUCAAGUGCUGGACCUAACACAUGGAGACAAAGUCAGAAGUCAUUGUAUCUUUGGUUCUUAACCCCGAUAAUGCAUUAAGAGUCCCCUGGUGUGCUGUUAUAGCAUAAUAAUACCAGCAUCCAUACUUAGAGGCUGUGAUUUCAGUUGCCUGAUAAAGAGCUCAAGGUUCAGAAUUCCUAGAAAAGCAGAAUACAGAAACAAAAAUUCUAGAGUAAUUCUAAUGUGCCACCAAGGUUGACUAAUUCUGCAUUAGCUGUUUUUAAAUUUAAUGCAAUUUAAAAAAAAAUUUUUUUUUUGCUACCAGGGAUGGAACUUGGGACCUUGUGCUUGCGAGGCAGGCACCAGAACCACUGAGCUAAAUCCCCAGCCCCAAUUUAAAAAUUUUUAAUUGACACAUAGCUAUAUAUUUAUGGGGUAGAACUAUACAUAUAUACAACAUAUCAUGAUCAGAUCCGUGCAGCUGGCACCUUAAUCACCUCCAAUAUUUAAAAUUUCUUUGUAUUGGUAAUAUUUAUAUCCUUCUCUACUAACUGUUAAAAUGUACAAUUAAUCUUCAUCAACCAUAGUUACCCUAUUAGGCUAUAGAAUAUUAGAAGUUGUUUUUCCUCUUCAACUGCAACUGUACCUGUUAGCUGCCCUUUCUCCAGUCCUGCUGCUGCCCCACUUGCCCUGGUGUCCACAGUUCUUCCCUCAGGUCUGUGAGAUCACCUUGCUGAGCUUCCACAUGUAAAGGUGAUGCAUAUUGUCUUUCUGGGCCCCACUGACUUCACUUAAUGUAACAAACUAUAUGCUUAUCCAUGUUGCCACAGGAGAAGGAUUUCUUCUUUUUUAUGUCUGAAUAAUAUGCCACUGUGUUUAUGUACCAUAUUUUCUUUUUCCAUUUAUCCAACCAUGGAUUGGUGAGAAUGCUAAUUAAUACAGCUGUAAUGGCAAACAGAAUGAAGUUUGCUCAAAAAACUAGAAAUAAAACUGAGUAUAUAUCCUAAGGCAUAACUUUAGUACCUUAAAGAGUUAUCUGUUUACUUGUGUUUGUUGUAAUCCUCUUCAUGGUAGCCAAGAUGUAAAAUCAAACUAGGUGCAUUAGAUGUUUUGAAGGUUAAAAAUUUUUUUGGUUUAUUGAACUAAAACUGGCAGUUCAGGGUCAAGAAUAUACACUGAAGCUUCAAAGGGUUUCAUCAGAUACUGUAUUUUCUAAGUAAACAAAGCUCGAAUUUCAAACAUGUUUCAGUGUGGGAACUCCUUGCAUCCUAUUUUAGUUAGUUUCUACAGUAGGUCUUAAAAGCAGGGCCCUGGGGGUCGCUGAGACGCCCCUUUCUCUGAUGGUAAUGGAGCACGUCUGCAGCGUCUGCAGUGGGUCCCUGACGCUCGGCAGCAGGCUCCACGUGGGCCUGGGCCCCACGCUCCGCCCUCAGGAGCAAGGCAGCCCUGCACCUUAGCAAGCCCUCAGCUAACCACUCACAUCGAAGUCCGAAUGGCAACUCACUGCGUACGGGCUACUUGCACAAGAAAAAGUAAAAGAUAAAACAGUAAGAAAGAGAUGGAGAGCUAAUAAGUGCAAUUUAUUUUUUCUUUUCAAAUGGCACAUGACAACUACAUAUUUAUAGGAUAAGGUCUGGCAUUUCUAGACAUGUAUAAAAUGUACAAUGUUCAAAUCAAGGUAAUCGGCCAAUCUAUCCCCUUAAACUCAAGCAGCCAUCCUCUCCUUGUGUUGGGAACAUUCAAAAUCCUUUCUUCCAGCUGUUUUGAACCAUGUGAUAAAGAAUUGUUAACAGUCACCUCCCCGUGCCGUAGAACCCUGGGACUUACUCCUCCUGUCUAUGAGUGCUUUAUUGCUAUGUAGCUCUUUGCCUUCCUCUCUGGUAGCAUGGUGUGUUGCUCAAAUUUUGUUGCUAUAACCAAAUAUCUAGGGAAAAAACUUAAUGGAGGGAUGAUUUAUUUUGGCUCCCAGUUUCAGAAGUUUCAGUCCACAGUUAGCUGGUUCCAUCCCCUUAAGCCUGUGGUGAGGCUGAAGCAGCAUGGUUUCUACCACGAAAGGGCACGGCAGAGGAAAACUGCUCAUCUCAACGUGGCCAUGAGGCAGAGAAGAAGAGAAAGGGCCAGACAGGAAGGGGCCAGGGUGUGAAAUACUCUGCAAAGACGUGGCACCUCCACUUAGACUAUCACCUCCUAACAGCCCGUUCAGCUAAGGAGCUCAUCAGCGGGUCGACCCACGGGUGAAGUUAGCAUCUUCUUGAUUUCAUCACCGCUGUGGGCCCCACCUCUGAACACUGCCGCACCGGCGUUCAAGCCCUCAGUGCGUAAGUCUUUGGGGGAUGCUUGGUAUUUUGAUCCUAACACGAGGCAAGUGACAGGGAGCUGUCUGUUACCCCCAGAGACACUGCAUGCUACCUGUAAAGCCACCUUUGGUCAUUUCCAAGUGGGGUUUUCAAUUGUUAAAUCAUCAUUGCCAUCAUUAUUACCCUCACAGAUUUAUAUUUAUUAUCUAUGCCACUGUCACAACAAUUCUAAAAAUUAGAUACAAUUUCACCCCUUUUUUACAUCUGAGGAGACCCAUUUUUGUGGCCAUUCGCACAGCUUCAGCAGUGGCCUGGCAGGCUCGGAGCCCCUGCAGUGUGGCUUCAAC